GCUGUGCCGCAGCUAACGCGAUAAGUAUCCCGCCUGAGUAGUGCGGCCGCAAGGUUGAAACUCAAAGGAAUUGACGGGGGCCCGCACAAGCGGUGGAACAUGUGGUUUAAUUCGAAGCAACGCGAAGAACCUUACCAGGGCUUGACAUCUGUGGAAUCUUUCGGAAACGAGAGAGUGCUCGCAAGAGAGCCACAAGACAGGUGGUGCAUGGCUGUCGUCAGCUCGUGUCGUGAGAUGUUGGGUUAAGUCCCGCAACGAGCGCAACCCCCGUUGUUAGUUGCCAUCAGGUAAAGCUGGGCACUCUAGCGAGACUGCCGGUGACAAACCGGAGGAGGGUGGGGACGACGUCAAGUCAUCAUGCCCUUUAUGCCCUGGGCUACACACGUGUUACAAUGGCCGGGACAAUGUGAUGCAAACUCGCGAGAGUGAGCGAAUCACCAAACCCGGUCUCAGUUCGGAUCGCAGGCUGCAACUCGCCUGCGUGAAGUCGGAAUCGCUAGUAAACGCCGAUCAGCACGCGGCGUUGAUACGUUCCCGGGCCUUGUACACACCGCCUG
rnacentral:rRNA from 1 species